rnacentral:rRNA from 1 species
UUCCCCUUCGGGGGACAAAGUGACAGGUGGUGCAUGGUUGUCGUCAGCUCGUGUCGUGAGAUGUUGGGUUAAGUCCCGCAACGAGCGCAACCCUUAAGCUUAGUUGCCAUCAUUAAGUUGGGCACUCUAAGUUGACUGCCGGUGACAAACCGGAGGAAGGUGGGGAUGACGUCAAAUCAUCAUGCCCCUUAUGAUUUGGGCUACACACGUGCUACAAUGGACAAUACAAAGGGCAGCGAAACCGUGAGGUCAAGCAAAUCCCAUAAAGUUGUUCUCAGUUCGGAUUGUAGUCUGCAACUCGACUACAUGAAGCUGGAAUCGCUAGUAAUCGUAGAUCAGCAUGCUACGGUGAAUACGUUCCCGGGUCUUGUACACACCGCCCGUCACACCACGAGAGUUUGUAACACCCGAAGCCGGUGGAGUAACCUUUUAGGAGCUAGCCGUCGAAGGUGGGACAAAUGAUUGAGGUGAAGUCGUAACAAGGUAGCCGUAUCGGAAGGUGCGGCUGGAUCACCUCCUUU